rnacentral:rRNA from 1 species
CACGUAGGGCGCGAGCGUUGUCCGGAAUUAUUGGGCGUAAAGAGCUCGUAGGCGGCCUGUUGCGUCCGCUGUGAAAGCCCGGGGCUUAACCCCGGGUCGGCAGUGGAUACGGGCAGGCUAGAGGUAGGUAGGGGAGAAUGGAAUUCCCGGUGUAGCGGUGAAAUGCGCAGAUAUCGGGAGGAACACCGGUGGCGAAGGCGGGUCUCUGGGCCGAUAUUGACGCUGAGGAGCGAAAGCGUGGGGAGCAAACAGG